rnacentral:rRNA from 1 species
UACGGAGGGUGCAAGCGUUAUCCGGAUUCACUGGGUUUAAAGGGUGCGUAGGUGGGAAUGUAAGUCAGUGGUGAAAUCUCCGUGCUUAACAUGGAAACUGCCAUUGAUACUAUGUUUCUUGAAUCUUCCGGAGGUUAGCGGAAUAUGUCAUGUAGCGGUGAAAUGCUUAGAUAUGACAUAGAACACCAAUUGCGAAGGCAGCUAACUACAGGGGCAUUGACACUGAUGCACGAAAGCGUGGGGAUCAAACAGG